rnacentral:lncRNA from 1 species
CCUAUAAAAGGAAUGCCUCCUCCCACUUAAACACGAUCCCAUUACAUCUUUGGUAAUCCCCUUGGGCCGCAAGGCUCAACACACUAGUUAAACAUUCAAGUGGAUGUAGUUUCCCGCUAAGGCGGGAAGCGAACCACUAUACAUCUUGUGUCAAUCUCUCUCUCUCUCUCUCUCUCUCUCAUUCUUUAUGCUAACUAGAGAUCCCACGGAUCGCUAACGUUAACAUUGGCGCCGUCUAUGGGAAGCCAACAAUUAGCUUCGUCACCUACCAUGAGCUAAGCCUGCUUAGCGGAACUCAAAGAAAUUCUUUCCUCCUUCUUUGAGCCAUUUCAAAUUCAUUGGUCACCCGUUUCUCUUUAGUCAUUCUUGAGUCUUCAUUGGUUCCCAGUGAGUUUAUGUUUGAAGUUAUGCUUCUUGGCGGUAACUUUUGCCAAAGCAUGAUCAACAUCACUCCAGCGGUACAACCAGAGCAGAAAUUCGCAUCUGCUCUGGACACCCAUUCCAUCUUCAAUCAAUCAUCAGCGUCGAAAUCCUCCGCUAAGCUCCACCAGCGGCACCGGCGAACUCUCUCUUUCUCUUACGAUAAUUAGACCUCAAUGAUCAAUAACGACCUUCUCCAUGGUUCUAUUACUCCGCCAUGAGCCACUACCAGGCAGGUGUUCCGCCAGGAGCAACAUAAAACACUCAUGAGGCGACCUCCGCUGGGGAGUCUCCGCCGAGCAAGCAACAGCAGCAAAACUCCAGCGUCCAUUCUUGACGCUUCAAUCUAUCACUGUCGCUAGCCAUUCCAACUUCACUAGUACAAAUUUUCAUCACCGCCGACCACAACCAGCGGAUAAACCUCCGCUAGGCACCGCCAAAGUCAUGGCCGUAUCCGCCUAACUGUGCACCGCCAAACUAUGGCCAGCGGCACUUUAUCCGCUCAUCACCCUCAGCGGAAAAGCAAGCUUCUGAGCUUCGGUCUGCGGUAGCGGCGGAGCUUCGUCGGCGGCACAUUCUUCUGCCCAUAUCCGUCAGCGGUAACACCAGUAUCCAUCACCGCCGGGACCCAUCACUGCGAUCCUCCGCUGGACUUUCACAAGCUUCACCCAUCACCGCCGAACUCCACACGAUUUGUCCAGCUCCGCUUCUUGCCUUGUCACACCGCCAACAAGAACUGCAACUUUGCUUCCUCUUGUUGCACCGCCAAGUUUCUUCAGCAAGAAAGCAUCAGCGGCACCCCAGCACCGCUAACAUCCAUCAAUGCCCCGAUAGCCAUCCAUCAGCGGGACCGAUACCCAGCGCCUUCGAUGUGCAGCAGCUCCGCCGAGCUCCACUCCCGCUAGCCAAGGCUCCGUCAACCGCCAACUGCUACCGCUGGGCAAAGCUACCGCUAGCCAUGUUCAGCUGAACAUGCACCGGAACUUCAAUUUUCCUAGCGGAGCUCAUCACCCAAGGAUUGAUCAGUGCCUUCGAUGCAGCUAUAAACCUUCUGAC